CCCCUGCAGGGCCCCCCCACCCCGAAUCAGGGAGACACCCCCACCUCGCCCCUGCAGGUGCACGCGGCCCCAGGAACCCCUCUCCUUCUCCACGCAUUUCGUUUGCAGGAUGACGGCAUCACUGAUGAGUGUUGGCUUCUAGAACAUCAGUGUCCUGAGGACAGGAAUGUCUGCCUGUUCCCGACACUGCCGUGUCCCCUGCACCUAGUACAGGGCCUGGCCCAUAGCAGCAAAUGCUUACUGAGCCAACUGCUCACUACUCUGGGGACAGAGCAUGACUGACACAGACGUGAUUCCUGCCCUUGAGGCGCUGACUUUCUGGUCACUGCAAACAAGUGUGAUGUCAGGAUCUGGGGAUACCGGAGUGAACAAGACAGGCAAAGACCUUUAUCUUCCCGGAGCUGACAUUCUGUCAUGGGACACAGCCAUCAGACAACAG